rnacentral:rRNA from 1 species
UACAGAGACUGCAAGCGUUAUUCGGAUUCACUGGGCGUAAAGGGUGCGCAGGCGGCCGAGUGUGUGAGGCGUGAAAGCCCGGGGCUUAACCCCGGAAUUGCACCUCAAACUAUACGGCUAGAGCAUUGGAGAGGGUAGCAGAAUUCAUGGUGUAGCAGUGAAAUGCGUAGAUAUCAUGAGGAAUACCAGAGGCGAAGGCGGCUACCUGGACAAUUGCUGACGCUCAGGCACGAAAGCGUGGGGAGCAAAAGGG